rnacentral:tRNA from 1 species
GGGGCUGUAGCUCAAUGGCAGAGCACUUGUCUAGCAUGCAUGAGGCACUGGGUUUGAUCCUCAGCACCACA